AACUUUCAGCAAUGGAUCACUUGGUUCUGGCAUCGAUGAAGAACGCAGCGAAAUGCGAAAAGUAAUGCGAAUUGCAGAAUUCCGUGAGUCAUCGAAUCUUUGAACGCACAUUGCGCCCCCUGGUAUUCCAGAGGGCAUGCCUGUCCGAGCGUCAUUAUCCAUCUCAAGCCUGGCUUGUCGUUGGGCGGACCGGUUUGGUCCCCCUGAAAAAUAGCGGCGGCACCGUUUCGGUCGCAUCGCAACGAGCUUCGGCACGCGGUGCGGCCCUUGUGGCCCGCCUCCAACCUCUAGGUUGACCUCGGAUCAGACAGGAUUACCCGCUGAACUUAAGCAUAUCAAUAAGCGGAGGCU
rnacentral:misc_RNA from 1 species